rnacentral:rRNA from 1 species
UGGGGAAUAUUGCACAAUGGGCGCAAGCCUGAUGCAGCAACGCCGCGUGAGGGAUGACGGCCUUCGGGUUGUAAACCUCUUUUAGCAGGGAAGAAGCGAAAGUGACGGUACCUGCAGAAAAAGCGCCGGCUAACUACGUGCCAGCAGCCGCGGUAAUACGUAGGGCGCAAGCGUUAUCCGGAAUUAUUGGGCGUAAAGAGCUCGUAGGCGGUUUGUCGCGUCUGCUGUGAAAUCCCGAGGCUCAACCUCGGGUCUGCAGUGGGUACGGGCAGACUAGAGUGCGGUAGGGGAGAUUGGAAUUCCUGGUGUAGCGGUGGAAUGCGCAGAUAUCAGGAGGAACACCGAUGGCGAAGGCAGAUCUCUGGGCCGUAACUGACGCUGAGGAGCGAAAGGGUGGGGAGCAAACAGGCUUAGAUACCCUGGUAGUCCACCCCGUAAACGUUGGGAACUAGUUGUGGGGUCCAUUCCACGGAUUCCGUGACGCAGCUAACGCAUUAAGUUCCCCGCCUGGGGAGUACGGCCGCAAGGCUAAAAACUUGAAAGGAAUUGACGGGGUCAGAGCUGUUU